rnacentral:rRNA from 1 species
CAAACUUGGNCAUUUAGAGGAAGUAAAAGUCGUAACAAGG